GAUGAACGCUGGCGGAGGGUUGAAUACAUGCAAGUCGAGCGAACGGACGAGAAGCUUGCUUCUCUGAUGUUAGCGGCGGACGGGUGAGUAACACGUGGAUAACCUACCUAUAAGACUGGGAUAACUUCGGGAAACCGGAGCUAAUACCGGAUAAUAUUUUGAACCGCAUGGUUCAAAAGUGAAAGACGGUCUUGCUGUCACUUAUAGAUGGAUCCGCGCUGCAUUAGCUAGUUGGUAAGGUAACGGCUUACCAAGGCAACGAUGCAUAGCCGACCUGAGAGGGUGAUCGGCCACACUGGAACUGAGACACGGUCCAGACUCCUACGGGAGGCAGCAGUAGGGAAUCUUCCGCAAUGGGCGAAAGCCUGACGGAGCAACGCCGCGUGAGUGAUGAAGGUCUUCGGAUCGUAAAACUCUGUUAUUAGGGAAGAACAUAUGUGUAAGUAACUGUGCACAUCUUGACGGUACCUAAUCAGAAAGCCACGGCUAACUACGUG
rnacentral:rRNA from 1 species